AGUCAGGGGCAGUAAGGCAGGUUAUUAUCAGGUUAGUGGAGAAAGAGGCCAGGCUAGAAAGAGACCAAGGCUGCUGAGAGAUAAAAGGCUGAGAGGGAAACACAGCUGGGUGGGGGAUGGGAGGAGGAGGAGAGGAAGACAGGUGCAGGUGAGAGGGAAACACAGCUGGGUGGGGGAUGGGAGGAGGAGGAGAGGAGGACAGGUGCAGGUGAGAGGGAAACACAGCUGGGUGGGGGAUGGGAGGAGGAGGAGAGGAAGACAGGUGCAGGUGAGAGGGAAACACAGCUGGGUGGGGGAUGGGAGGAGGAGGAGAGGAAGACAGGUGCAGGUGAGAGGGAAACACAGCUGGGUGGGGGAUGGGAGGAGGAGGAGAGGAAGACAGGUGCAGGUGAGAGGGAAACACAGCUGGGUGGGGGAUGGGAGGAGGAGGAGAGGAAGACAGGUGCAGGUGAGAGGGAAACACAGCUGUGUGGGGGAUGGGAGGAGGAGGAGAGGAAGACAGGUGCAUGUGAGAGGGAAACACAGCUGGGUGGGGGAUGGGAGGAGGAGGAGAGGAAGACAGGUGCAGGUGAGAGGGAAACACAGCUGGGUGGGGGAUGGGUGGAGGAGGAGAGGAAGACAGGUGCAGGUGAGAGGGAAACACAGCUGGGUGGGGGAUGGGAGUAGGAGGAGAGGAAGACAGGUGCAGGUGAGAGGGAAACACAGCUGGGUGGUGGAUGGGAGGAGGAGGAGAGGAAGACAGGUGCAGGUGAGAGGGAAACACAGCUGGGUGGGGGAUGGGUGGAGGAGGAGAGGAGGACAGGUGCAGGUGAGAGGGAAACACAGCUGGGUGGGGGAUGGGAAGAGGAGGAGAGGAAGACAGGUGCAGGUGAGAGGGAAACACAGCUGGAUAUGGGGAUGGGAGGAGGAGGAGAGGAAGACAGGUGCAGGUGAGAGGGAAACACAGCUGGAUAUGGGGAUGGGAGGAGGAGGAGAGGAAGACAGGUGCAGGUGAGAGGGAAACACAGCUGGGUGGGGGAUGGGAGGAGGAGGAGAGGAAGACAGGUGCAGGUGAGAGGGAAACACAGCUGGGUGGGGGAUGGGAGGAGGAGGAGAGGAAGACAGGUGCGAGGGCAGGUCAAGUGUGAGGGAAGAUGUUCGGUUGAGGGUGGAAGACAGGCUCUGAGGUGCACGAGAUAAGGUUUCUCAUUAGGUUGUAAAGGGGUAAAGAUGGGGUUGCAGGUGCAGGUGAUUAGGUGUGUGUGUGUUUACGUAGGUAUGUGGGCUUAGUAUAAAGGGGGUAGAGGAGUAGGGGAGGUAGCAGUCUCAUGAGAGUGAUG